AUUUAGAUAUAUAAAGGACAUGAAGAUUGGCCUCACUUGCCCAGUUCUGGAAAACUUGCUUAUUGUGAAAGUAAAGAACUGAAAAAUAAGUCUGUUUUUCCAUGCCAUGAAACACCUUGAAUAUAUGACACCUCACUGAUGUAACUUACAGAAGUGUAAUGUGUAAACAGCAGAUUAGGAUACUGUAAUUAGGGGGUUUUCAUUGCAUCAAACCAUAUCUUAAUGAUUAGCCUUACUAUGCAGCCUUUUUUACAUAUAUUAAGUUUCUUUCAAUGAAAAGCAAAAUGAUAAAAUACACCAGCUCUCCACAUUCAAAUUCUAGAAACUAUAGUUAAUAAGGACAGAUAUAUGAUAUUAAUAUCAUUUUAAUGUAAUUUCUCCACAAACUAAAAAUGUUCUUCACAUUGAACCCUAUUUAUCCCAUACAGGUAAACAAAUGAAAAAGAGGUUCAACACUGAACAAAAUACUUCUGGGGAAAAUACAGUGAUCUGUUGAAAGGUUAAUAAAAAUAGAAAGACAUUUAAACUUUUUUUGGACAAUUCCAGGGGGGUUUUAAUGGGUACUAAAGGGCAUAGAAGAAAUAUCAGCAUUGUUUCUUCUGCAUCAUAAGUGAUCUUUCAUGAUUAUUGAAUAAAAAACAUGUUCACUGUUACAUAGGUGUGAUAUCCAAAUAAGACUAAUUUGCAAGUAAAAGAACACUCCCUUAAAAAUGUUCUGAGAUCAUCUCCAGGUUAGGCUUGAAAAUAAAAAACUACAUCUAAUUUCUCUAUAUGAAAAUACAAGAUAUGGAAUAGCAAGUUAAGAUGAAGGAAACAUAGUAAUUUGUUUCUUAGGCUUUCCAGUUAAUCUUCCUGCACAUAGAUAUUAAUUUCCAAUAUUUUCUCAUACGUAAUUGAACUUUCUUUUCUGCAGCAAUGAUAGUAAUCCUCCUCAUUUCUUCUCCCUUCUUCUCAUUUUCUCCUAUUUUCAUAUUUAGGAAGAGGGCAUCUCAUUUCUGAGGAGCCUGGUGACCCAGGACUGGCAGCACACAUGGACAUUCUCCGUGCUUUCAUUGGGACAGGGAAGUGCAGUGCUGAGGACUCCCUCACUGAGAUCCUGACUGCCAGCCACAUCAUGCUGGAGGUGGGGGAGGACCUGGCUUGGGACCUGGCUUUGCACGAGCUGACAGCUGUGUUUUCCCUUUCUGCAGAAGGAAAGAGAGAAAGGGAAAAGCUGUUGUGUCAUCUGAGAGAGCAUCUCCAGCUGGGAACGUUGUCCUUUGCCUGCUGCCAGUGUGCUGCAAACCAGCACUAGAGAUAAAGAUUUUCAGAGAGAACUGACGCUGACAGGGGGAUGUUGUGAAGAAGCCUGAGCCUCCCAGGUCUUUCUGCUGAGAAUGGCAACGAUUUAAUGAAGAGGUGCAAAUGGAUGCAUGAGUGGCAAGGGAUGCCAGGCUGGCUCCAAAUCAGGAUGCAGAGACUUCCAACUGGAAAAGCAAACAGAAGAGGACACCCUCAUAUCCUCACAUUCCCAGUCAAUUCUUUUAUUAAUUUCUUUUCUAUUGAUAAGCCACCCCCAGCUGAAUGUAUUUUCAACCAGAUAGAAGCCUGUGUGAUUGUCUCAGGCAUUCUCCUGCCCGUGCUGCAGGGACAGGACUCCUAUAUUUUCAUUUCUUAUGAAAAAAAUGGUGUACUCAAUUUGUAUUUUCCUCUUUGACCAAGAAAGCAUGUGGAAUGCAUUGUUCCAAUCUGCAGUUUUUAUUUAAACCCUUUAUUUUAAUGGAUACUCAGAUGUCAGUCUGUUUAAUCACUCAAUGCAUUUUACUGUUUCCUCUGGAUUUUGAAUAUCUAUUUGUUAGAGCUUAUAUGUGCAGGGACAAUUUUCAUUUUUUUUAUAUCAUGAAGGUAUAGCUUCAGUUAUUAAUGACUGAAGAUUGUGGUUGUCUUCAUAAAUGAUGAUUAAGCCCUUACUUCAUGGACUAUUUAAAUACUUUUGGAACAAAGAAGUACUCAGUAUAGGAAUUCUUCUUCCUCUUGAACUGAACAGCAAAACAGCAAUCCGUUUCAAGAGGUAAGAUUUUAUCCAGGGCAGCAAAAGAGUGCCGUGUUCUGGUCCUGAGAUAUAAGAAUAUAUUUCAUGCUAAAAUAUUUGAAGUUUAUGAGUACUUAAAUCAUAUUCUAGUGACUUCUUAUGAGGAAUGAUGCCUUAAGUUUUAGCUCUCAUAUUUUUUAGAUUCUGUGCUGCCUAGGUGUGUAGCUCUGAACUUCAUAUUGAGUGUUAGUAAGCUGUCUUCACAGAGUAGGUAGACAAAACAAUCCUUUUCCAGCUUGAGACCAAAGACAACCUUGGUUACAAGUUUCAUGCCCAAAAAGCAUAAACAACAGCAGAAUGAACAGAGAAAACAAGGAGAAUGGGACUUCACAAAGUGAAGCUGUAAUUGGACAAUUACCCCCAAUAUGCAAAUGGACCAAGACUUAUAAAAGUGUGCUGGCUUAUGACAAAUCAUCCAUUUUGUGACCAUUUAAGGUCCAUCUUGGGUAUGGCCUGGCCAGGCUCUUGUGCUGCCCAAGGUGCAUCCUUUUAAGGCCUUUCAAAAAUACCUACUUUCUUCUCUUAGCUCAGUCUAGUCUCUGUUUCAGGUCAGCCUCUCAUGGCAUCAGGAGAACUAAAAUUUUACUUAAAAUAGGGAAUUACAGUAAAGGAUAGAUUAAUAUAUUUUUUGAGGGGGAUGUGUUCCAUCUGCAAAGUGCUAGUGCUAGUGCUUGCCAGAGUUGCCCUCCAGCUCCCAUGGCAGCAAAAACGUCAGCUACCCAAAAGGUGCCUGCAUCAGCAGAAGUGGGGAACAUUGCAGGAUCCAUCACACACAGACUUCUGUAGCAGGAUGACUACAGUAGAUUGAGGAAUCUAACUUGCAAUAUUCACUUGGUACAGCAUGAUAGAGAUUACUUUUUUCCCUUCUUAGCUUUAUUUUCCUUUUCUUUCCCCACUGUACCUUCAAGGCAUUUAGAAAUAACUUAGUACUGGGAAUUUUUUAUGUUUUUUGCUUAUACAAAAUAUGUCUUUAUUGCUUUUCUACUGAAAGUAAUAACAUAAUCCAAGUGGUUUAAAAAUAACCGUACAAUAUCUGUUCUGAGGGAAAAAGAUUUACCUAAGGAAAUUUGUUUGGGAGUCUUUAAAGUGCCCUCUGGAUAUUAUUACCAUACUGUCUCUACUAAUUUUCUGUAAGGGUGUCAGAUGUUUCCUCUCUUCUGUGUUUGAUGUGGUUAUCAGACUUCAGAUUGAUAACUACAUUAAGAAGACUUAAGUAUUUUUAAUAAUUUUUGGGUGAAAAUUAAUUGAGUGUAACUCAAAGAAGGGAGGGUAAUUGAGGCCUUUUAAAAUAUAAAUAAGUGCUGCUAAAAAAAAGAAAAUGUUAUGACAGUUCUUUUAGAAGUCAUGAAGGUGAGAUCACAGUCUUCGAAGUGUAUUUAAGUGCUUUCAUCAAAAUAAACUGCAGUUGGUUAAAAUAGGUAUCUAAA